UACGUAGGGGGCAAGCGUUAUCCGGAAUCAUUGGGCGUAAAGAGCGCGUAGGCGGCCCUGUAAGUCCGCUGUGAAAGUCAAGGGCUCAACCCUUGAAUGCCGGUGGAUACUGCAGGGCUAGAGUCCGGGAAGAGGCGAGUGGAAUUCCUGGUGUAGCGGUGAAAUGCGCAGAUAUCAGGAGGGAACACCAAUGGCGAAGGCAGCUCGCUGGGACGGUACUGACACU
rnacentral:rRNA from 1 species